AGACCCGAAACCCGGUGAUCUAGCCAUGGGCAGGUUGAAGGUUGGGUAACACUAACUGGAGGACCGAACCGACUAAUGUUGAAAAAUUAGCGGAUGACCUGUGGCUGGGGGUGAAAGGCCAAUCAAACCGGGAGAUAGCUGGUUCUCCCCGAAAGCUAUUUAGGUAGCGCCUCGUGAAUUCAUCUCCGGGGGUAGAGCACUGUUUCGGCUAGGGGGCCAUCCCGGCUUACCAACCCGAUGCAAACUGCGAAUACCGGAGAAUGUUAUCACGGGAGACACACGGCGGGUGCUAACGUCCGUCGUGAAGAGGGAAACAACCCAGACCGCCAGCUAAGGUCCCAAAGUCAUGGUUAAGUGGGAAACGAUGUGGGAAGGCCCAGACAGCCAGGAUGUUGGCUUAGAAGCAGCCAUCAUUUAAAGAAAGCGUAAUAGCUCACUGGUCGAGUCGGCCUGCGCGGAAGAUGUAACGGGGCUAAACCAUGCACCGAAGCUGCGGCAGCGACACUCAGGUGUUGUUGGGUAGGGGAGCGUUCUGUAAGCCUGUGAAGGUGGCCUGUGA
rnacentral:rRNA from 3 species